GUGGAUGUGGUCGCCAGGAUGAACUUCAGGGUCUCAGAUUGAUGGGAUGAACCAGAAGGAUGCAUGGGAUGUUUACCUUGACCUUCAGGCGUGAGCGAGUGGAGACUGAGGACUUCCACAGUCCAGGGUGGACUGUAAUCACUGCAUAAUCACAUAACUUUCCUGUUUAAAUCAGAGAAGAAUAAUGGUGCAGGGGGCUUUAUACUCAUUCAGGAAUGAUUUACCUGGGGUGAAGUCUAUCUUCCCUCCUCCUUCUCAACUCAUUGGUGAAAAACUUCAAUUGCCACCUCUGCUUACUUUUGGUUAUUUAAGAGAAGGUCUGGCCUUGGUUAUUUUUAUAUUAAUUGCUUAAAAAAUAAGUGGGAAAAGGAGAUGAUGAGUUUUCUCUUGUAUUCCCAUUGUCUGUGG
rnacentral:lncRNA from 1 species